CUCUCUCAAACCCUAGGGUUUGGUAUUGAGUGAUACUCUUAGUCGAACUAAGCGUUUGCUUGAAAAGUAUUGGCAGGAGUGGUGCUGAAUAGUACUUCCAGACUUUCAAUGUAUUAGGUUUAUCCAACUCGUUGAACGGUCUAGUAGUAAAUUUUUAGUCCAUUGGCUCGGCCUUACAACACAACAAACAA
rnacentral:misc_RNA from 1 species